ACUCGAGUGGCGAACGGGUGAGUAACACGUGGGUGAUCUGCCCUGCACCUCGGGAUAAGCUUGGGAAACUGGGUCUAAUACCGGAUAGGAGCCAUCUUUAGUGUGGUGGUUGGAAAGUUUUUUCGGUGUAGGAUGAGCUCGCGGCCUAUCAGCUUGUUGGUGGGGUAAUGGCCUACCAAGGCGGCGACGGGUAGCCGGCCUGAGAGGGUGUACGGCCACAUUGGGACUGAGAUACGGCCCAG
rnacentral:rRNA from 1 species